CUGAGGAUUAUGCCGGUUGUUAUCCGAAGAUUUUUGUCAUCUCUCCAACACAAAGCUAAUUUCAACUCUUUUCCAGGAUCUGCUUAUGUCUUCUCUACACAUGCCCAAACAAUGUCAAUCAGUGAUCCACCAUUUUACCCACAGUUAAUGUACCAGUGUACUUUCUUUAGUAUAUCCAUUUCUCAAUCAGUUGAUCUUGUUUUUAUUAAAUGCCCCA
rnacentral:lncRNA from 1 species